CGCAUCCCACCUCCUCCGGCUCCGGCUCCGGCUCCGGCUCCGGAUCUCCGCCUCGGCCUGCGCCUGCCCAAAAGCGUCGCUGGCCAUCUGCCUCUGGCAUCUCGGUCUCGUUCCCGAGCGGCACCAGGCUCCUCGCCGCUGACCGGGCAUUGUCCCUGACGCUGGCCCGCUCGGUCGCGAGGGAGAUCUCGGCGGACUUGGGCGGGGUCGACGGCGCGGCGAAGAAGGAGAGGCCUGCUGCAUUUUCUCUCUCUUUUUUUCAACGGAGCGCGCGCUAUUUCUUCCCGCUUCUGCCUCUCUCUUCCUCAAGCACUCCUCUCCUCUCUGUCCCGAGCCCUCUCACUCACCCCAAGCGCCCCCCUCCUCUCUGUCUCGAGUCCUCUCACUCACCCUAAGCGCUUCUCUCCUCGCCUCUGUCCUCGUCGCCGUCAUCGACUUUCCAGCCGCGGCUCCAGAAAUCGCCGGCUGCCGACUGGCCUCUCGAGCUUCUUUGUCUUCUACUCCUUAUUCGGUCCCGAUUUCGGGCUCGAGUACGUAGCCAAGAUUUUGAAGCAAAAGAGGUUUGCGAGGCUAGAUAUACUGGUGGCGGACGGCGAGAGCACGAUCGACCUGAGUCGUUACUCUUCGCUCGGUGAUUUCAGGCUCGACGUCGAAGCAGAGAAGGAGGAAGAACAAGAACGAGAUGAAGGAGAAGAAGGAGAAGAUGGGUCCUUGCUUUUCUGCUUCUGGGUUUAUCUCUUGAAGUCCGCCACUUUCCCUUGUACCAUUUUCCGUCAGGUGAACUCUGAUGUCAAGGAUGCUUUUCCAAUUCUCGUUUUGAAUGGAGAUAAGAGACUCACACUUCUGCCACCGCUUCCUCCACAAAAAGAAUCUCCUGAUUCUGAGGUUUCUCCUUUUUCAAGUGAAAAAUCGUAAGCUUCUUCAAAUAGCGAGUUUCCAUUUGGAAAAUGGGUCCAUGUUGGCUGUCAGGUCUCAAGUGAACUUUUACGGCUUCACAUUGAUGGGGAAGUGGUGGAUGAGAAGCCCCUAAGUGCCUCAAAAGAUGGAGAAUCUAGCCCUUUAAAGAAAAUAAGUUUGGUUAGUACCAGUGGAACUAAUGAUGGUAUAGAAGGUUAUUUAUACAGUCCAAAGGUCUUGCACCCUUCUUCAUCCAUUGAGGAUCAUUAUAAGGACUCACCUGUACACUUAGCUAUUGACAAGUCAUCUGCUUCUGACAUAGAAGAAGGUAGUGAUGGUAUCUGGAGUAUCGUGGGUGGAAAGGCCCACAUGAGAGGGCUCUUCUGCUGAAGAAGUUUGCAGCAUCUGCUUCAGAUGAAGAAGUUUUGGAACUUGCGAAUUAGGUCUCCUUGUACACUGGAUGCUCCCAUCAUUGCUCCCUCCUCAUACAAUUCAUAUUCGACCGUUGAUGAUCAAGGUUGAAAAGGACCCGAAGCUUUCAGAUAUCAGGACCGUUGAUGCACUCGAAAUAGUACAAACAAGAAACAAACUCCAAAACAAGGCCAUUCUUCGGUGGAGUCGGCGUCAACCGAGACAUACUGGUGGUGGAUUUGGAUGAUGAUAAUCAUGUCUCAUCACCUAACAGCACCGUGUCGAGCAUAAGUGGGAAGAGAAGUGAGAGAGACCCGCAUGGAGAAAAUGAAGUUGAGGCUGAGAGAACAUCGUGCUCUUGUGAGAGCAUCGAAGAAGAUGGCAGUGGAGGAGAUGGAGCGAGGAAGAAGCUCAGGCUGUCUAGAGAACAGUCAUUGGUGCUAGAGGAGACAUUCAAAGAGCAUAACACUCUUAACCGUAAGCAAAAGCUUGCCUUGGCCAAGCAACUGAAUCUUAGUCCCAGAUAGGUAGAGGUCUGGUUUCAGAACAGGCGUGCUAGUGUAGGACUAAGACGAAGCAAACUGAGGUGGACUGUGAGUACCUUAAGAGAUGCUGCAACAAUCUUACACAGGAAAACAAGAGGCUGCAGAAGGAAGUGCAGGAGCUCAGAGCACUGAAGCUCUCCCCACAGCUCUACAUGCAUAUGAACCCUCCCACCACGCUCACCAUGUGCCCUUCAUGUCAGCGAGUGUCUGUUCCUUCAGCAUCAUUGUCGCCUCCAUCUUCAUCUUCAGUCAGUGCCUCAGUGAUUGGCCCCAUAGGGCCGGUCCAUAAUCCUUUUAGUCAGUCUGGACCAUCCAUCAACCCUUGGGCAAGGCUACAGAUGCAACAAGGACUGAACAAUUUGCACUCUUAAUGGCUUUUCUGACAUCUGCGUGGCAUGUGCCAAGGCAUAAAGCAAAGAGUAUCAGCUCAUCCUGACGAUACAUUAGCAAGUAUGACGUAGAAAGAUCCAAUGAUUGGCAAAAUAGAGCGUCUAUUGUGCUUUUUGCUGAUAAUAGGACAUUGAUUGCUGGGAUAGACAAAUCUUAUCCCUGUUUUUAAGGUCGAAAACAUGUAGGGAACAGAAAAGGUGAACGUUAGUUCAUGAAACUUGUUCACAUAGGUAAUUUGAUGAUCUAUCAUGAUGUGGGUGAUUGUCGAAUCUAUUCAAAUGUCGAUGAAUCAUGGUCUCAUCUACCAUGUUGGGUCAUCAGCUGUUUCAAGCAAUUCAAUUGUGAUAUUUGUUGACGGGUGACA